rnacentral:rRNA from 1 species
UACGAAGGGUGCUAGCGUUGUUCGGAAUCACUGGGCGUAAAGCGCGCGUAGGCGGCUAUUCAAGUCAGGGGUGAAAUCCUGAGGCUCAACCUCAGAAUUGCCUUUGAAACUGUAUAGCUAGAGUGUCGGAGGGGAUAGCGGAAUUGCUAAUGUAGAGGUGAAAUUCGUAGAUAUUAGCAGGAACACCGGUGGCGAAGGCGGCUAUCUGGACGACAACUGACGCUUAGGCGCGAAAGCGUGGGGAUCAAACAGGG